rnacentral:rRNA from 1 species
UUCGCAAUGCCCGAAAGGGUGACGAAGCGACGCCGCGUGCGGGAAGAAGGCCUUCGGGUUGUAAACCGCUGUCGGGAGUUAGGAAAUGUAAGGGCGUUAAUAGCGUUCUUGCUUGACUAAGGCUCCAAAGGAAGCCACGGCUAACUCUGUGCCAGCAGCCGCGGUAAUACAGAGGCGGCAAGCGUUGUUCGGAAUUAUUGGGCGUAAAGAGCACGUAGGCGGCCUUGCAAGUCAGUUGUGAAAGCCUUCCGCUUAACGGGAGAACGGCAUCUGAUACUACAGGGCUUGAGUACGGGAGGGGAGAGUGGAACUUCUGGUGGAGCGGUGAAAUGCGUAGAUAUCAGAAGGAACGCCGGCGGCGAAAGCGACUCUCUGGCCCGAAACUGACGCUGAGGUGCGAAAGCUAGGGGAGCAAACGGGAUUAGAUACCCUGGUAGUCCUAGCUGUAAACGAUGGGCACUAAGUAGAGGGGUUUU